ensembl:lncRNA AABR07049491.1
CAGAAGAGAAAUGAAGCCUGGGUAAUGAAUGCCAUCACUGCAGACGAGUUAUUAUGCCUUUGUAUUAUUGAAUACCUGAGGUCCAUCCCAUUUUGUCUGCAGAAUAUUGUGCGCAGAGAUGUGGAGUCCCUUGCUCAAAAUCAAAGGGCUCUAAGGCAGCUCAGUUGUAUCAAGUCGAUCCACAGUUUCCAAAAUCAGAGGUAUGGCCUUCAGAAAAGACUGCAAAAUGAUGGAGUGCACCGAAGGCAAAUGGAAGCUAUAAUGGGAAGGCAUUUUGGAGCAGAGUCCAAAUGCAAAUUGGUUGUUACGGAAACUAUUCAGAUCCAUCUGGUGCCUGCAUGUGAUGAAUACUGGAAAUCUGAUCAAUGGAUAUGCGUUUUGGCAAUGGUAAAGGAACGUAAAACAGGACAAGUCAGGCCACCAGAGUGUGGGUGUUGGACACAGCCCUUCUUGCAAAUGUGUAUCCAAUACUCACACCAUGUUGUCAUCAGGGCGGAAGGAAAGCAGACCUUUAGUGUGAAAUAAGGUGUGACUAUCAAAGAC